UGGGGAAUUUUGCACAAUGGGGGAAACCCUGAUGCAGCGACGCCGCGUGAUUUAGAAGGCCUUCGGGUUGUAAAAAUCUUUUGUAUAGGAAGAAAAUGACAGUACUAUACGAAUAAGGACCGGCUAAUUACGUGCCAGCAGCCGCGGUAAUACGUAGGUCCCGAGCGUUGUCCGGAUUUAUUGGGCGUAAAGCGAGCGCAGGCGGUUAGAAAAGUCUGAAGUGAAAGGCAGUGGCUCAACCAUUGUAGGCUUUGGAAACUGUUUAACUUGAGUGCAGAAGGGGAGAGUGGAAUUCCAUGUGUAGCGGUGAAAUGCGUAGAUAUAUGGAGGAACACCGGUGGCGAAAGCGGCUCUCUGGUCUGUAACUGACGCGGAGGCUCGAAAGCGUGGGGAGCGAACAGG
rnacentral:rRNA from 1 species